rnacentral:rRNA from 1 species
GGUAGCAAUACGCUAUAUGAGAGCUUUUGCAUCCUAUUAGCUAGUUGGUGGGGUAAAAGCCCCUACCCAAGGCGAUGAUAGGUAGCCGGCCUGAGAGGGUGGACGGCCACAAGGGGACUGAGAUACGGCCCUUACUCCUACGGGGAGGCAGCAGUGGGGAAUAUUGGACAAUGGAGGCAACUCUGAUCCAGCAAUUCUGUGUGUGUGAAGAAGGUUUUAGGACUGUAAAACACUUUUAGUAGGGGAAGAAAGAAAUGACGGUACCUACAGAAGAAGCGACGGCUAAAUACGUGCCAGCAGCCGCGGUAAU